rnacentral:rRNA from 1 species
AGCGAACGCUGGCGGCAGGCUUAACACAUGCAAGUCGAGCGGGCAUCCUUGUGGUGUCAGCGGCAGACGGGUGAGUAACGCGUGGGAACGUGCCCUUCGGUUCGGAAUAACUCAGGGAAACUUGAGCUAAUACCGGAUACGCCCUUCUGGGGAAAGGCUUGCUGCCGAAGGAUCGGCCCGCGUCUGAUUAGCUGGUUGGUGAGGUUACGGCUCACCAAGGCGACGAUCAGUAGCUGGUCUGAGAGGAUGAUCAGCCACACUGGGACUGAGACACGGCCCAGACUCCUACGGGAGGCAGCAGUGGGGAAUAUUGGACAAUGGGGGCAACCCUGAUCCAGCCAUGCCGCGUGAGUGAUGACGGCCUUAGGGUUGUAAAGCUCUUUUCUCCGGGACGAUAAUGACGGUACCGGAGGAAUAAGCCCCGGCUAACUUCGU